AGCACCACCUCCCUCUACCCCAUCAUCUCCCUCUGCUCCAGGAUCAUCUCCCUCUGAUCCAGCACCACCUGAUACGCAGAGAAAAUCCCUAGCAGAGAAAUAUGUCUAUGAAGCUUUUUCUGGAAAAAACGUCUUUGUCCUUCUGUCAAAAGUGAAUGCAUAUAAGUUGUUUUACUCUGACAUUUACAAAAUUGGUCCUGGCAUGGAACUGGUGAGUCAGAUCCUCUGUGACAUGUGCCUGAGGUGGUUCCAUCAGGCGUGUGUGGCUAGCCCACCAACU